CAGCCGCCGCGGUAAUACGUAGGGUGCAAGCGUUAAUCGGAAUUACUUGGCGUAAAGCGUGCGCAGGCGGUUAUAUAAGACAGAUGUGAAAUCCCCGGGCUCAACCUGGGAACUGCAUUUGUGACUGUAUAGCUAGAGUACGGCAGAGGGGGAUGGAAUUCCGCGUGUAGCAGUGAAAUGCGUAGAUAUGCGGAGGAACACCGAUGGCGAAGGCAAUCCCCUGGGCCUGUACUGACGCUCAUGCACGAAAGCGUGGGGAGCAAACAGGAUUAGAUACCCCUGUAGUCCCUGUCUCUUAUAC
rnacentral:rRNA from 1 species